rnacentral:misc_RNA from 1 species
GUCUGCAUUAUUCUGUUUCCGUUGAUGGCGCUGAAGUUGAUUCGACCAUGACUCAUCCCAUGAAUGUGACGAUUCUCAAGACUCUUGGUUUGCUGACUUUCACGGGAAUCAAUGGAAUCAAGAAUAUCAUACUGGAUACACACAGCCAGGAGACUGUUGUUGCUACACAGUCAGUGCACACCCUAGUUCUGGACAAACCUCUUGCUAUAACAAAUGAAGCUGAAUUCCGACCUGCUAUCCAGAAAGUUUGGUCGAGUGUGUUAGGCGAAGAAGUGACAGUGAUCCUAGGACCAAGUAAAGAAUACAUUAUGCAACAUGGGAAGCCUGUGUGGAAAUUGGAGUACUUCCUGCAAAUCAACGCUACAACACUGAAAACAAAUAUGAUUCCACGUUUAAAUAGCAGCCAGAAACUGUCUUUAGAUCAGAUGAUUGCUACCGUCAGUUCACCAAGAGGUGGGAAGUACGCUGUGAUUAAGGAACAAAGCCUCCGAGAGUAUGCCAUGCACUUCCCUCUUUAUUUCACUAGCAAGGUGGCACAAAAGGAUAUGGCUAAAAUAAAGGAGGAGAUCAGAAAAGCUUGGUCCAAUUCAACAGGGGAGAACGUAUCGAAUAUUGCCGUUGAUAUUACAUCUCAGAAAGAAAUGCUCGACCAACAUGGAAGGUCUGUUUGGAAAUUGGCCUAUUUUCUGAAGAAGGAUGGCAAACCUGUGGACUCCAGAGUCAUAGAAUUCAGAAAUGUGACGAAGGUUUUGAAACUAAAACUGUCUCAGCUGAACGAUAUACGGGACUGGCUUUCCACGUGUUAGUGUCGUUACCAGACGUGUACAGACAUGAUCAAAUGUUUCGUCUUUUUCUCUCUGGUAAAUUGGACCAGCAAGCUAAAAUAGAACUCAAGAAGAAACUACAAGAGAUGUUUCGAAAUAUAACUAAUGGAACCAAAGUUACUGUCAGUGUAAACAAACAAGAAGAAUACCGAAAUGACAAACGG